AUGUGCUGUCCCCAAAGUGUCCCUCCAGCACCUGCAAUGGCUCUGACAGGGUCCAAUCACACCUUUCUGGGGACCCCCAGAGCCAUCCAGGAUGUCACACACACUCCUGGGGACCCCCAGAGCCAUCCCUGCUCUCCAGGAUGUCACACACACAUUCCAGGGGACCCCUUGGGACAUCCCUGCUCUCCAGGAUGUCACACACACACCUGGGGACCCCCAGAGCCAUCCCUGCUCUCCAGGAUGUCACACACACACCUGGGGACCCCCAGAGCCAUCCCUCAUCUCCAGGGUAUCACACACUCACUCCUGGGGACCCCCAGAGCCAUCCAGGAUGUACACACACACUCCUGGGGACCCCCAGCAGUCCAUCCAGGAUGUCACACACACUCCAGGGGACACUUGGGACAUCCCCACUCUCUCCAGGAUGUCACACACACACUUCAGGGGACCCCCAGAUCAGUCCCCCAUCCCCAGGAUGUCACACACAUUCCUGGGGACCCUUGGGACAUCCCCACUCUCUCCAGGAUGUCACACACACACCUGGGGACCCCCAGAGCCAUCCCCCAGGAUGUCAUACACACACAUUCAUGGGGACCCCCAGAGCAAUCCCUGCUCUCCAGGAUGUCACACACAUUCCUGGGGACCCCCAGAGCCAUCCCCCCUCUCCAGGAUGUCACACACACUCCAGGGGACACCUGGAACAUCCCCACCCUCCCCAGGAUGUCACACACAUUCCUGGGGACCCCUGGAACAUCCCCACCCUCUCCUGGGAUGUCACACACAUUCAGAUUCAGGGGACCCCUGGGAUUUGGAACAGCCCCACAGGGGGGCUGGGAUCUGCCAGGAGUGGCAUCAGCAGAAGCUGGGAUUCAGGAGAAGCUGGGAUUUUUGAGAGGCUGGGAUUCAGGAGAAGCUGGGAUUCAGGAAAAGCUGGGAUUCAGGAGAGGGUGGGAUGGAGAAGGUGGGAUUCAGGAGAGGCUGGGAUUUGUGAGAGGUUGGGAUUCAGCAGAAGCUGGGAUUCAGGAAAAGCUGGGAUUCGGGAGAGGCUGGGAUUCAGGAAAAGUGGGGAUUCAGGAGGCUGGGAUUCAGGAGAGGCUGGGAUUUGUGAGAAGCUGGGGGAGAGGCUGGGAUCUGUUUUGGCUCCAAAGGGGGUUUGACACGAGGGUGACAUCCCUGUGA
rnacentral:lncRNA from 1 species